rnacentral:rRNA from 1 species
CUGCUGCCUCCCGUAGGAGUCUGGUCCGUGUCUCAGUACCAGUGUGGGGGACCUUCCUCUCAGAACCCCUACGCAUCGUCGGUUAGGUGGGCCGUUACCCCGCCUACUGCCUAAUGCGCCGCAUGCCCAUCCCUGUCCGGCCGAAGCCUUUCCUGCCUCCGGGAUGCCCCGGUGGCAUGUACGCGGGUUUAGCCCGCCUUUCGGCGGGUUGUCCCCCUGACAGGGGCAGGUUGCAUACGUGUUACUCACCCGCGCGCCGGUCGCCGGCGGAGAAAG